AUUGAACGCUGGCGGCAUGCUUUACACAUGCAAGUCGGACGGCAGCACAGAGAAGCUUGCUUCUUGGGUGGCGAGUGGCGAACGGGUGAGUAAUAUAUCGGAACGUACCGAGUAAUGGGGGAUAACUAAUCGAAAGAUUAGCUAAUACCGCAUAUUCUCUGAGGAGGAAAGCAGGGGACCUUCGGGCCUUGCGUUAUUCAAGCGGCCGAUAUCUGAUUAGCUAGUUGGUGGGGUAAAGGCCUACCAAGGCGACGAUCAGUAGCGGGUCUGAGAGGAUGAUCCGCCACACUGGGACUGAGACACGGCCCAGACUCCUACGGGAGGCAGCAGUGGGGAAUUUUGGACAAUGGGCGCAAGCCUGAUCCAGCCAUGCCGCGUGUCUGAAGAAGGCCUUCGGGUUGUAAAGGACUUUUGUCAGGGAAGAAAAGGCUGUUGCUAAUAUCAAUAGCUGAUGACGGUACCUGAAGAAUAAGCACCGGCUAACUACGUG
rnacentral:rRNA from 1 species